AUUAAUCCUAAUAAUACCUAAUAAUUCAUAAAGAUUAAUCGCUUUAAGAUGGGCCUAUGUAGGAUUAGGUAGUUGGUGGGGGAAAGGCCUACCAAGCCGACGAUCCUUAGCUGGUCUGAGAGGAUGAUCAGCCACAAUGGGACUGAGAUAAGGCCCAUCCUCCGUGAGGAGGCAGCAGUGAGGAAUCUUGGACAAUGGGCGAAAGCCUGAUCCAGCAAUAUGGCGUGAGUGAAGCAGUAUACACUACUAUAAAACUCUUUCGACAAGGAUGAUGAUGACAUUACUUGGAGAAGAAGCUCCGGCAAACUCCGUGCCAGCAGCCGCGGUAAUACGGGGGGAGCGAGCGUUAUUCGGAAUGACUGGGCGUAAAGGGUAUGUAGGUGGUCUAUGAGGUCGACUGGUAAAGACCAGAGCUUAACUCUGGAAAUGCCCGUCCUAAC
rnacentral:rRNA from 1 species